rnacentral:rRNA from 1 species
CAGUCGCCACGGGAAUACAGAGGGUGCGAGCGUUAAUCGGAAUUACUGGGCGUAAAGGGCGUGUAGGCGGCCUGGGGCGUCCCAUGUGAAAGGCCACGGCUCAACCGUGGAGGAGCGUGGGAUACGCUCAGGCUAGAGGGUGGGAGAGGGUGGUGGAAUUCCCGGAGUAGCGGUGAAAUGCGCAGAUACCGGGAGGAACGCCGAUGGCGAAGGCAGCCACCUGGUCCACUUCUGACGCUGAGGCGCGAAAGCGUGGGGAGCAAACCGGAUUAGAUACCCGAGUAGUCCCUGUCUCUUAUAC